CAAUGCCGGCGACCGGCGCACGGGUGCGUAACGCGUAUCAAACCUGCCUCAUACUCGGGGAUAGCCUUGCGAAAGUAAGAUUAAUACCCGAUGUUGUUGCUUUCUCGCAUGGGAGAGUAACCAAAGAUUUAUCGGUAUGAGAUGGUGAUGCGUCCGAUUAGGUAGUAGGCGGGGUAACGGCCCACCUAGCCUUCGAUCGGUAGGGGUUCUGAGAGGAAGGUCCCCCACACUGGAACUGAGACACGGUCCAGACUCCUACGGGAGGCAGCAGUGAGGAAUAUUGGUCAAUGGGCGAGAGCCUGAACCAGCCAAGUAGCGUGCAGGAUGACGGCCCUCCGGGUUGUAAACUGCUUUUAGUUGGGAAUAAAAAAAGGGACUUGUCCCUUCUUGUAUGUACCUUCAGAAAAAGGACCGGCUAAUUCCGUGCCAGCAGCCGCGGUAAUACGGAAGGUCCAGGCGUUAUCCGGAUUUAUUGGGUUUAAAGGGAGCGUAGGCGGAUUGUUAAGUCAGCGGUUAAAGGGUGUGGCUCAACCAUGCAUUGCCGUUGAAACUGGCGAUCUUGAGUGCAGACAGGGAUGCCGGAAUUCGUGGUGUAGCGGUGAAAUGCUUAGAUAUCACGAAGAACUCCGAUCGCGAAGGCAGGUGUCCGGGCUGCAACUGACGCUGAGGCUCGAAAGUGUGGGUAUCAAACAGGAUUAGAUACCCUGGUAGUCCACGCUGUAAACGAUGAGUGCUAGGUGUU
rnacentral:rRNA from 1 species